UACAUGUGGGGCAAGCGUUGUUCGGAAUUACUGGGCAUAAAGGGUGCGUAGGUGGCUUGUUAAGUCAGGGGUGAAAGUUUUCGGCCCAACCGGGAAAUGGCCUUUGAUACUGGCGAGCUCGAGUGCGUGAGGGGUAACCGGAACGAGCAGUGUAGCGGUGAAAUGCGUAGAUAUUGCUCGGAAGGCCAACGGCGAAGGCAGGUUACUGGUGCGCAACUGACACUGAGGCACGAAAGCGUGGGGAGCAACCAGG
rnacentral:rRNA from 1 species